rnacentral:rRNA from 1 species
CAGUAGGGCCAGCCAUAAACAUGCAAGUCGUACCAAGGUAACCAGUAAGCUUGCUGCUUCGCUGACGAGUGGCGGACGGUUGAGUAAUGUCUGGGAAACUGCCUGAUGGAGGGGGAUAACUACUGGAAACGGUAGCUAAUACCGCAUAACGUCGCAAGACCAAAGAGGGGGACCUUCGGGCCUCUUGCCAUCGGAUGUGCCCAGAUGGGAUUAGCUUGUUGGUGGGGUAACGGCUCACCAAGGCGACGAUCCCUAGCUGGUCUGAGAGGAUGACCAGCCACACUGGAACUGAGACACGGUCCAGACUCCUACGGGAGGCAGCAGUGGGGAAUAUUGCACAAUGGGCGCAAGCCUGAUGCAGCCAUGCCGCGUGUAUGAAGAAGGCCUUCGGGUUGUAAAGUACUUUCAGCGGGGAGGAAGGGAGUAAAGUUAAUACCUUUGCUCAUUGACGUUACCCGCAGAAGAAGCACCGGCUAACUCCGUGCCAGCAGCCGCGGUAAUACGGAGGGUGCAAGCGUUAAUCGGAAUUACUGGGCGUAAAGCGCACGCAGGCGGUUUUGUUAAAGUCAGAUGUGAAAUCCCCGGGCUCAACCUGGGGAACUGCCAUCUGAUACUGGGCAAGCUUGAGUCUCGUAGAGGGGGGGUAGAAAUUCCAGGUGUAGCGGUGGAAAUGCGUAGAGAUCUUGGAGGAAUACCGGUGGGCGAAGGCGGCCCCCCUGGGACGAAA